GUUUUUAGUAAAAACCCGUCGUAAUUUUCAAAAUAAAAAAAAAACAAAACCGCAACCUCGUCGUCCUCUGCUACGAACUCCUUUCUUUGUUCUGCUUGUCCUUUCUUUGAACCCUAGCACCGGUUUUUCAAAACCCGUCGCAAGAGAAAAACGCGGUGGUAAUUCAUUGAACUUGAAAAGAAGAUCUGAAUCCGAAAUCACUUCAGCUCUUCCAUCAUCCUCCUCUUCUCAUUCUCCAAGCCCCUCAGCUUCCUCCCCAAACACUGCAAGAGAGAUCUAGAGGCAACAAAUCUUCUUGAUGGAGCUUUAGAGGUGACAGAUCUGUUCAUAGAUCUCUCUGGUGUUCCUGCUCGUGUUUGUUGCCAUAAUUGGAACCAGCACGGCCUCGAAGACGACAAUCUCGUAGGGCUUUUACCAGAAUAGAAGUCUCUGGUGUUUCUGCUCAUGUUUGUUGGCAUCGUCUGAACGCGCCACCACAAACCGUGCACCGCUCGUCGUGCACUGGUGGCCUCCGCGAGGGGUUGAAGUCUUGAACCCUAAGUAGGGAAAACUGUUGAUUCUUACAGAGAGUCGUAGAUACACCUGCGAAGAAGAGGCGAAGUAAAUUUAGGAAGGUCUUGGAAAUUCGAGGGCCACACUGGCUGUGUCAAUGCGGUGGCUUGGAAUUCCAAAGGUUCGUUACUGAUAUCUGGAUCAGAUGAUCAACGGGUAUGGCACAUAUUUUAUGUCAUUUGUAGUUCUGUAGUCUCAUACACUAGAAUGGGAGAUUCUUUUUUGGAAAUAUAUGAGAAAUGAACUUUGACAUAUUUUAGGGUCCAUGAAACUAUUGAAUAUGUUUUUUCAUAUAGAAUGUUCCAUUAUAAAAUUCCCCUGUCUUCUUGAUGGGCUAAAAUGAAGUUUCUUUGUCCAUGAUUAAAUGAGAGACUUUGACAUCUCUGCCACUUAUUGUGCUUGCUUCUAGUUCUCACACAGUUGUGAUUUAUUUUCAAACCAAGUAGAGAGAAUGAUCAAGAAGCAUCAAACUACAGAGAAUAAUUCUUUUGUUUGUCUUACGUCUUGUUUUGCCUGAUAUAAUUUAUAAUUAUUGAGUCAUGACUAGUUUGAAAAGUUCAGUUCUAACUCUCAAAAGGUAGCAAACAGACUGAUAGAGUCAUGGAGCAAAUGAUUCCAGCCUCUCUGUUUUUGGUUUAUACUAACCCUCUUAGACUGCUUUAGCAGCAGAAGGCAUUGAAUUGUUUUUCUGAAAUUUUGCUUGAUAUUGUCUUACCUAAUUUGGCUUAUUUUUUUUUUUGUGAUUUAACAAAUUCCUUGAUAUUAUCCUUUGU